rnacentral:rRNA from 1 species
UCGGGAAUUUUGGGCAAUGGGCGCAAGCCUGACCCAGCAACGCCGCGUGAGGGAUGAAGGCCCUCGGGUCGUAAACCUCUGUCGGGAGGGAAGAACGUCUGUCGGGCAAAUAGGUCGACAGGCUGACGGUACCUCCAAAGGAAGCGCCGGCUAACUCCGUGCCAGCAGCCGCGGUAAUACGGAGGGCGCGAGCGUUGUUCGGAAUCAUUGGGCGUAAAGCGCGUGUAGGCGGCUUGGUAAGUCGGGUGUGAAAGCCCGGGGCCCAACCCCGGAAUUGCACUCGAAACUGCCUCGCUAGAGUCCCGGAGAGGAGAGCGGAAUUCCCGGUGUAGAGGUGAAAUUCGUAGAUAUCGGGAGGAACACCAGCGGCGAAGGCGGCUCUCUGGACGGUGACUGACGCUGAGACGCGAAAGCGUGGGGAGCAAACAGGAUUAGAUACCCCCGUAGUCC